ensembl:lncRNA
UUUUAAAGGUACAAUACAGUGAAAUGAGAUUACAUGGUGAAAUCACUGUUUUCUACUUUUUGAAGGAAAUCUUAGUUUUUCCUAAGCAACUGCACAUCUAUACCUAUACAGUCACCACUGCCUAUUUUUCCUCCUGGAAAGAAAAAAAAAAGAUAAGCAAAAAAAUUAAGAGAAAACUCAUUGGUAGCAAACAUUUCUGCAAUGUUAUGUCUACGCUGUAUAAAACAGAAAUAAAUACGUAUCCUCAGUGAAUAGGCAGUUAAUCACCAGAAAUCUAGUAGAGGUUUGGGCGUUGCAUUUCUGUUUUUGAACAUUUUGGAAGUUUGAGAUGACAGUGGCAGAUGGAAGCACAGUUCUUGGCAAGUGGUUGGAGCUCUAGGUGGGGUAGGUGACAGGGGCAAGUGAACAUGCUAGAGAGGGAGUGGAGGUGAAUCUCUUCCAGAUUUGUCUUUGCUGGCAUACAGAAAGCCAGAGCUGCCACUCCACCCCAUGACUUCUCUUGCAAGAUGAAUAUGUGCUCAGUGAGAUCUCUGCUGGUGCAAACCGCUGUACUCCAGGAACAUACACGAGAAGACACACUCCUCUAAUCUCCCUUGAGUCUGCUGAAUUCACACAACUUUUCUGGAAACAAACAUUUUUGAAUUAAAGCUCUGCUUAAGAAAUUACGCUGAUUGAGAUGUUCACAAUGCCCUCCUUGUCAAUAUCCUCCUUUAAGUCUUUACUUGGAACACAGGUGGAAAUAAAAGCAGAUGAAUACAAGUGACAGAAAAAUACUCGGUAGGACUGAAACACAGAGUGAGCAGCUGAAACCAGUGCUCCCACGUACACUGGAAAAGGUGUGUUUCACACACUAUUAGCUGAAACCACCUGUAGCCAUCUUGAGUAUGCAAUCACACCAAGUCUUCGUGUAACAGAGCUCUCAGAAAAGCUGCUGCAGAGAGACUGAAGAAUCAUUGGAAGAGUAAGAAUCUUUCAGAACACGGGCAUCUGGCAAGAAAAGUAUUUACAACAGCAUUAUUUCAACAGAAGAGAAGGAUUGCUCAAGGAAGCAGGAGAGUACCCAUUCCCAGAGGUGUUCCAGAACCAUGGAGAUGUGGCUCUGAGGAACACGCAACUACAUGUAAUGGGAUAUUGGUGAGAAGGUCAAACCUCUACUGCCAUACCACCAACAUCUGUCUCUGGCUCCACAGAGCCGUGAGCAUCUCAGCAGCACACAAUGAAUAGGUAUCACUGCUGCAAGGAGGAGGAAGAGGAUACAUCUGGAAACAACUCUCUGCUCUGCAGGCUCUACUGACACCUGGCGUGCAGCUCAUCUGCAGCCUUAUGUCCAGGAUCCCUGUGCUGCACGUGCCCACAGAGUGCCUCUGCACCCCAGAGCAACAGACCUCAUGGUGAAAACACAAACACUGGUCAGCCACAAUUUUCUCUCAUCUCCCUUCUGGUUCAAGCAAGAAGGGAGGCUCUUCAAAUUGUGCUAUGAGCAAGGAGAUGUCAGUCUUGGUGUGACUUCCUCAAAGGAUUGGUGUUGUGACGCACAAGAGGAAACAUGCAGCAGCCAAGGCAUCAAGAGGACUGGGAGGCAUGUAUGGUGCAAGCCAACCGUGCAAGUGUUGUGCUCAAGCACAAUGCUUCUAAUAGCAUGUGAGCAGGUGCUAAAUCUGUGUUUAUUAAAAACAAACAUGCUUAUGGUAGUGCCUCUCACAUUUUAUUAGUGGGAGUCUAUCCAAGUGCCCCCAAUACUGACAUUCCACUAUUGUCUUAAAAGAUAGAAACCACAUCCUAUGGCAAAGCAUUUGUGAGCCUUUGAGGGCUUUGUAAGUUGAACAAUCUUAGGAAUCUACCCACAGUUAAAUUUUCUGGAUUCUGCACAAGGGACAGAAAUAAGAAAAUAAAAUAAAAAAGCUUCUCUUCCAAGUCUCAGCUUGAAUUUGUAGUAUUUACAUUUUGAACAGUUUGAAAAAUGCAGCACCUUUUCCCCACUGUUCAUUAAUUGUGAUCCUCAAUGGCACUUCACAGUCACUUCUGAAAUAGAAAAGAAAGUAAAGCUCAGACUGAAGAGUCCUUGAAUUGCUACAACCUACAUAAACUCAGCUCUUCAGCUCCUAUCUGCAAAGCCUCAGUGACAUAAAAUAGAAGAGACCUGACUGAAUAAGGGAUUCUGAUUUUCAGCAUGGUAAGGUCUUCUGAAAUAAAUUAUAUCCAAUUCUUAAGAACAGUGGCAGAGAUAAUGUCUGCAUAUCUAGAUUCAGAAGUCUCAAGAUGAGCUACAAUAUCUGACUUUGUUAAGUAAAUCAGCAAAGAUGACAGUACUCAGAAAAAGUUUGUUAAAGAAAGCAUGUCACUCACAUCUUUGUUUUUGACUCUCUUUACCUGUUUAAGAUUGGAG